rnacentral:lncRNA from 10 species
UGCUCUCUAGGCCAGUCUCCCCCACAUUUUUCCCCAUUGCCCUGCAUUCAAAGUUCUUUCUUUCCUAUCAACAAGAUGGGUCUAAGUCUUGAAAGGAAAGCAAAAGGAACAUUCUCCAAGCUAUGCUGAUGACUUUAUAAUCUGCGACGGAUGGCACCUGACCCUCACUGGUCCAGCUUUGCCAGUCUCUCACACAGAACCACACACAUGCAUAUUUGUCCACUAAAGAGACACAAAAACGACAACCCACCCGGUGGAUAUGCCUAGCAACCUGUAUUGUUUCCUACUAAAAGGAACCAGGGCUCUUUAGAGAAAUGGCUGAUUCCAGACCUGAGGCAGGAAUUAUACAAGAUGGUCCUGAAACAUCUUGUCACAUCAGCAAACAAAACUUAGGAGCCAAUUUGAAGAGGCUCCCAUUGGCCAAAGAUGGGACAAUUUUAACUUCAUAAGAGAGAAAAUGUGUAAUGAAUCAAAACAUCAUAUAUAUUUAAAAUCAUGCAUUUGAAAUAAGUCUUUAUUGGGGGAAAAAACAAACAAACAAACAAUGGUCCUUUUUCAAUAGCCUGAAAACUGGUUACGGACAGGAACCAAUCACUUAUCCUACUUCUCCUGUAUGAACUCUUUCUCAGGACAAUCAAGUAAGUGGUGAUGGGACAUCUCUCUUUACGGGAUAUCCAAGUUAAUAAAUGAAAAAGAAAGGACAUAAGUAGAAUAUCACCAUCUUGCAACUCUUAAAUACUAGAUCUAAGCAAUAAUCAUCAAUGAACACCAUAAAAAUAAGACAAGACUCUCCUAAUAAAACUCCCUAUGAAACUAAACAAUCACACCCAUUAAGUAUUUUUGCCACCUUCCCUGCCAGAUCAAAGCUUGGUCUAAUCAAGCCUCAAGACCUAACUCCUAGUCUGCAAGAAAUAUGGGGGAAGUGAAACAUGUUAAACCACCCAGUGAUACAACCAGCAAAAUCUACACUAUAGGAAAAUCCACAGGAAGACACCUGGAUUCCUCGCUUCCUAAAACAUCAGGAGGUAACACACAACCUACAGGUUAAAAGAGCCUUACCAGACAUCUCAACCAGCAGCAAUGCAUAUGAGACAAGCAUAAAAAUUUGAAUACCUAUCGGGUUUUUUGGGGGGAUAUGAAAUAAUUACCUUCAAUUUUUAGGUCUGUCAUUGGUAUUGCAGCGGUUUUUUAUAACAUUUACAUUUAAGAGAUAAAUACUAAAUAUUUAUAAAUAAAAUAAUAUCUGGAAUUUACUUCAAAAUUAUCCAGAGUGAACGGAAGACUAAGUGGAAAUAUAGAUGAAACAAGUUGCUGA